rnacentral:rRNA from 1 species
GAUGAACGCUGGCGGCGUGCCUAAUACAUGCAAGUCGAGCGAACGGACGAGAAGCUUGCUUCUCUGAUGUUAGCGGCGGACGGGUGAGUAACACGUGGAUAACCUACCUAUAAGACUGGGAUAACUUCGGGAAACCGGAGCUAAUACCGGAUAAUAUUUUGAACCGCAUGGUUCAAAAGUGAAAGACGGCCUUGCUGUCACUUAUAGAUGGAUCCGCGCUGCAUUAGCUAGUUGGUAAGGUAACGGCUUACCAAGGCAACGAUGCAUAGCCGACCUGAGAGGGUGAUCGGCCACACUGGAACUGAGCCACGGUCCAGACUCCUACGGGAGGCAGCAGUAGGGAAUCUUCCGCAAUGGGCGAAAGCCUGACGGAGCAACGCCGCGUGAGUGAUGAAGGUCUUCGGAUCGUAAAACUCUGUUAUUAGGGAAGAACAUAUGUGUAAGUAACUGUGCACAUCUUGACGGUACCUAAUCAGAAAGCCACGGCUAACUACGUG